rnacentral:rRNA from 1 species
AGUGAACGCUGGCGGUAGGCCUAAUACAUGCAAGUCGAACGGCAGCACAGUAAGAGCUUGCUCUUACGGGUGGCGAGUGGCGGACGGGUGAGGAAUACAUCGGCAUCUACUUUUUCGUGGGGGAUAACGUAGGGAAACUGACGCUAAUACCGCAUACGACCUACGGGUGAAAGCAGGGGAUCUUCGGACCUUGCGCGACUGAAUGAGCCGAUGUCGGAUUAGCUAGUUGGCGGGGUAAAGGCCCACCAAGGCAACGAUCCGUAGCUGGUCUGAGAGGAUGAUCGGCCACACUGGAACUGAGACACGGUCCAGACUCCUACGGGAGGCAGCAGUGGGGAAUAUUGGACAAUGGGCGAAAGCCUGAUGCAGCCAUACCGCGUGGGUGAAGAAGGUCUUCGGGUUGUAAAGCCCUGUUGUUGGGAAAGAAAAGCAGCAGAUUAAAACCCCGCUGUUCUGACGGUACCCAAAGAGUAAGCACCGGCUAACUUCGUG